GUGAAACGUGCAAUGUGGCCCCUUCUCAUGCCAAAUUGCGAAGACAGAUCCUCGGUGCUUAAGUUAAGGAGCUCAGGUAGGCUUUUCCUGGAGGCCUCUAACUUAUCUCCAUAUUGCAUCAGAGCUCGAUCAUGAAGAUUAGUUGCAGGCAUGUCAAGUGGCUUAAACGGAAGCGGCGAACAAUAGCUACAAGCUAUCUAUGAAUCGGCCUGAUGACAGUCGAAAGAUGCCAUGCCAACAGAGGAAGGUGUCUUCAGGAAGAUGAUUUGGACGUUGAAAAGAACGUUUAUAAUGUCAACAACUGUAUUUUAACAGGCUGCUGCCGGCUAUGUCCUGCCCUGUAAACCCAAUAAAUUGUUGUUCACACAAUCCAGCUUUUAAAAGGGGGUUUUGUUUUUAUAUCUGACACUUGCCUCGCUAAGCCAAUACGAUUUACACAUUUAGUACAGAUUUUCAUUGGAUCGUCUUGUAAGAAUCCCUAAAUAUGUCAAUUAGCUCCUGGUUAGUUGACUUUUCUCUUUAUUUUCAAUGAUGUAGCAAAACACCUCGAAAUUUAAGCCACCAUUAUCAUCCAAGUGAAGAAAAACAGCAACUCAAAAGACAACUUUACUUGGAUGCUUUAAAAAUUAAAAUCAUCACGUAUAAGUAACUUUAAUCCACCAUAGGAACAGCCAUUAUCACUAACCUCCUCAUCUUCCCCAACCGAACCCACAACUUUUCUUUCCUUCUGGAUUAUUUUGUUAAUAGCAAUCAGAUAAUACAGGAAAAUUUUUAUUUAAAUUUUACGACACUUCAAUCUUGCCAAGGAUCACUCUCUGUCCUUACUUCCGAUGGUUCGAUCACUUGGUUCUCUGAAGCUUCACUGGCACUCGUAUCAGUUUCAGCAGCACUAACUUCUGAUGCUUCCACUUCAUCAUCGUCCUCAUAUCUACCCCAUCUUCCUCCAAGUGCCAUUGCCAUCAUCUCAUAUAUCUUGUUACCUAACUCGGCAGGGCUGUCAGG